rnacentral:rRNA from 1 species
CCUACGGGAGACAGCAGUGAGGAAUAUUGGUCAAUGGACGAGAGUCUGAACCAGCCAAGUAGCGUGAAGGAUGACUGCCCUAUGGGUUGUAAACUUCUUUUAUAUGGGAAUAAAAUGUUCCACGUGUGGGAUUUUGUAUGUACCAUAUGAAUAAGGAUCGGCUAACUCCGUGCCAGCAGCCGCGGUAAUACGGAGGAUCCGAGCGUUAUCCGGUUUUAUUGGGUUUAAAGGGAGCGUAGGUGGAUUGUUAAGUCAGUUGUGAAAGUUUGCGGCUCAACCGUAAAAUUGCAGUUGAAACUGGCAGUCGUGAGUACAGUAGAGGUGGGCGGAAUUCGUGGUGUAGCGGUGAAAUGCUUAGAUAUCACGAAGAACUCCGAUUGCGAAGGCAGCUCACUGGACUGCAACUGACACUGAGGCUCGAAAGUGUGGGUAUCAAACAGGAUUAGAUACCCCAGUAGUC